UUAAAAUUCUGUUCAUUUAUUUCUUAUAUGGGCUAACAUAAGACACACACAGCAUCAAUAAUUUCCUUCUAAUAGCUGAUAUUAACUUUAAUUCUCUUACCCCUGCAAAAUAUAAUUCAAUAUUACUUUACACACCUUUAAUUAAACUCCAACAUGCUCCAACAUGCUAUCUCAUACAUGACUAAAGACUCAAAUCAGAAAAAUUGCAACAUCUGGUUGACCUCAACUCUUUUACAGGAGUUAGGCAAGCUAUUGGGUCUGACCAUUGUGGCUCCUCUCCUACUGUUGUAUGGUCCAAGAGAUGGAGAUCUUUUUUUUUUUUUUUUUUUUGAGAUGGAGUCUCGCUCCAUUGCCUAGGCUGGAGUGCAGUGGUGCAAUCUUGGCUCACUGUAACCUCUGCCUCCCGGGUUCAAGCAAUUCUCCUGUCUUAGCCUCCUAAGUAGCUGGGACUACAGGUGCCCGUCACCAUGCCCAGCUGAUUUUUGUAUUUUCAGUAGAGAUGAGGUUUCACUUUGUUGGUCAGGCUGGUCUUGAACUCCUGACCUCAGGUCAUCCACCCACCUUGGCCUCCCAAAGUGCUGGGAUUACAGGUGUGAGCUACCGAGCCUGGCCAGAGAUGGAGAUCUUGAGAGAUUAUAAAGUUGCUGGGUUGUGCCACGUAUCUACUGAGCAGUGUAAGGAAUGCAUGAGCACCUGGGCAAAAAUUCCUCUCUACUCAUUAGUGGCUACAUAGCACUUACAGACCCAUAUCCUUGCUAAGAGAUAAUUUGAGCUCUUAACUCUGUCUUGCCAAGGCUGAUAUCGAUGUAAUUAUUGUUUGAUUCUACUAUAAGACUGACUUCAGUUUCAGCUUUUUAAUUUGUCCAUUUCACUUCUCAUUUAUCAGCUUCUAUUGCAGAUGUGAAGUUUAGUGUUUCUUUGCUCACUCUUUUACUGGGAAACUCUUCUAGCGGAAAGCCUGUCAUCUGUUGUGAAGGAGAGCUGGUGUUGACUUGAAGCAACAGAGUUGGUGGUCCAGUGGCCAUUGUCCUGUGUUAGGAGCAGGUGGUCUCACUAAGCUCCAUGUGUUUGGAAAUUUCUCUGACCAGUGCUUGUGCUGCUAAAGGAAGAAGAGCUCAAGCUGCACUCCUUGUUUCCAGGUCAAUCUGCUGAACCUGGGAAAAUCCCCAGGGGCUAGCUUGAACUUCUUCCUGCUUUUCUCUCCAUGGUGGAUUUUAAACAUAGGGGAUUUUCCUCAUUCAUCUAUUUAUAUUUCCAACAGCUGCUAUAAGAAAGGAGAAAAGGCACAUUUUAUAGUAUAUAUUUUUAGAAGCAGUGACAUAGUUUCUCAAAGGAUAACAGUUAAAAUUUUGGUCCAAAGACUAUAAUUGCUCUUAACUUGGUGGGUGUGUGUGUGUAUAUUAUGUAUAUAUGUGUGUGCGUAUAUAUGUUUUUGAGUAUGUGUGUAUACAUUUUUUACUAAAGUGAAAAACAAAAAAAUUAAGAUCUACUCUUGUUCCAUUCACAUUAAAACUUGUGUUUAUAUUUAACAACCCAAUCCACCAUCUGUUGAAGAUAAUGUAAUUGAACGAUACUCCAGAAAAGUUGUCCUAUGGGUUUUUCACAUUUUUUUCCACAUUUUUAACAGGACUUGAAACCUAGGACUGUAAAUAAAUGAUAUCCUAUGGUUUCAUUCAGUGUAAU
ensembl:lncRNA